rnacentral:rRNA from 1 species
GAUGAACGCUGGCGGCGUGCCUAAUACAUGCAAGUCGAGCGAACGGACGAGAAGCUUGCUUCUCUGAUGUUAGCGGCGGACGGGUGAGUAACACGUGGAUAACCUACCUAUAAGACUGGGAUAACUUCGGGAAACCGUAGCUAAUACCGGAUAAUAUUUUGAACCGCAUGGUUCAAAAGUGAAAGACGGUCUUGCUGUCACUUAUAGAUGGAUCCGCGCUGCAUUAGCUAGUUGGUAAGGUAACGGCUUACCAAGGCAACGAUGCAUAGCCGACCUGAGAGGUUGUUCGGCCACACUGGAACUGAGACACGGUCCAGACUCCUACGGGAGGCAGCAGGAGGGAAUCUGCCGCAAUGGGCGAAAGCCUGACGGAGCAACGCGGCGUGAGUGAUGAAGGUCUUCGGAUCGUAAAACUCUGUUAUGAGGGAAGAACAUAUGUGUAAGUAACUGUGCACAUCUUGACGGUACCUAAGCAGAAAGCCACGGCUAACUACUU